AACACCACAGCAGUGCAGGUUGUUGAUUUCUGACCACAAUGGAGCUCGAGAAGAGUGCAACUGAGAUUCAUUCUCACGCUGUUGACUUUUUUCCCCCUCUACAUCUUGAGGAAAUGACCAUGAAAUUAAUUUUUGCAACUUUGGACUCGCUUUGCCUCGCUCCAUACGGGAACAAAAUUUCAAGCAGAAAUCUUUGGUUUCUUCAAUGAAACUUAGGGAUUGAAGAAGCUUCGAUUGUUGAUUUGGAGUUCAAGGAUUAAUUCAAGAAACUCCAGAGACUCGGCGGUGGAAAGAAACUGGUGGCCAAGAUGAUGUUUAAGAAAUGGGAUUGAAGCUGUCAAAGGACAAACGAAGCAAACUCCUGGCAGGGAGAAAGGCCUUGCCCUCUGUUUCAGCUGAACCAACGAAGCUUUCAAUUCAGUGUGUGGACAACCAAGCUGGGUUACGCGGCGUGGUUAGUAAUGAAAAAGACGACUUCUCCAUGUCUAAUCCAUCAUGUGAAGACGUCCCUCAGGACAAUGACGGAGAAGGUGUAAAUUGCUAAAUUAGCCAUUUAGCAAAUAUGUACACUAUCGAUAUUUAAAACACUUGCGGUCCUGCAUUAAAUGUAUUUUCUGAAACUAAA